UCCCGGUUGCUGCAAUGUUGGCUGAAGCGGAGCGCUGGAGGAGGGAGGACCGAGGCGGGGCAAGACUUGCGCUGCUCCACCUGGAACUGGGAAGGAGGGUGCUGUUGCUGGGGACAACGGGCUGUUGGUAACGGGGUUCGCUUCGUGCAGAAGGGAGGCGGUGGGCGGCGGGGGCCGGGCCGGAGCGCUCGGGAGCACGGUGGGGUCGUGCAGCCAGGGAAGCAGGCGGAGCCGAUCCCGGCCGAGGCUCUCCCCCACCUGCCCCGGCUCUGCACGGAAAGGCAGGGGGCGAGGCGGGGCGGUGCAGCCAGGGAAGCGGGGGGAGCGGUUCCCAGCCGGGGCUCUCCCUCACCUGCCCCCGGCUCUGCAGGGAAAAGCAGGGGGCUCUUCGCCCCCCGCCGGCACUGUCUCUUUCUGCUGCUCGCCGCUCGCCGUGGCCGAGGACGGGGAAUGGGAGCGGGAAGCCGCGGCGGUUGCCGAGGUUAUGCCAUUGGCCUUUUAAGAGAACCAGCUGCCUCACUGCUCCAGUACCAGGGAUUGGAGAAGUGCAUGCUCCACCUGGCUCUGAAUAACUACUGUUUCUGGAAAGCCUGGAGCAGUCUCGGUGCCUAUAGAAACCAGACCAGAUGUGCUCUCCCGGGAGCAUGGGGAGCCAGAUGCUGCAAACAGAUGGGCUGUCUUGUCUCCACGGUGAAUAGUGACAGAAACCUUGUCUGAUCAUGAACGCUUGGGCAACUGCAACCUUGGUGCUGCAAUCUUAGAGCUGAGUGACUAGAAGUCCUUCCUGCAUUCAAUACAUUGAUUAAAUUUACUAAGAUAUAAAUAUCAUCUAUUGCUUACCAAUUAAAUUAUAGUUUGGAUUAUGUUAUUAAGGGAUCUGAAUUAACAUUCUUCUGGAUGUAAGAGAAGCAUGUUUUUGCAGGCAAUAGUUAAAAGCUCCUAUCCCUUUCUUCCAUCUAAAUAAAUUUGAUUAAAUUUUUCUGUAAUGAAGUUUUUUAGCACUCAUAUUGUUUUUUGAGACCCCUUAAAAAUUGUCCAGGCCAUGGCUUUCAUCCAAAUGUAUGUAACUGUCAGUCUUGAGAUACCUCACUCACAAUCCAGCCUUUGCUGUUAAAUUUGUAUUGGCUUUAACAUGCUUUGAAAUAAUAAUCAGUGCUGUCUCCAGGGGGAUAGGACAAUAUGUAAUUGGCUUAAACAGAAGGAAGAUCUCGUUAGACAUUAAGAAGCCUUUACUAAUGGUACAGUAAUUAAGCACAGGAAUAAAUGGCUUGAAGCCUUCUGCCUGUACAGAAGUUUGGAUGAACACACUGAAUCUUGUCUUUUUCCACAAGGAAAGCAGAGAUCAUUCUUUGCAGUUUCUUUCAACUUUGUUUUCAAUGGUUCUGCAUAUGUCCACAAAGUUUUCUUGCCAGAAGUGGUAAUAGCAGCAUUUUCAUUUCCACCGCAUUGUCAUUGAAAAUGCUGCCCCAUCACUGCCUCAGCGGAAGAACAAGCUGAAAUAACAGAAUGUCAAUGAGAGCAUCCUUUCCUUCCAAGCUGGCGGGAGCAAGCCAUUCUGGAAGGUGAUGUACAUCUCCCAUAACUCAUGCUCCAGCUUCCUUGGUCAAGCCAAAUUGUCUUCCCUGCUUGUCAAAUGGGAGAACUGUUAACACUGUAAUUAGAAACAUUAAAGCAAUCAAAAUGAGCAUACAGGCAUAAUUAAGGCAUUAUUGGUUUAUGUCUCCUUCAGGCAUUCUUUUAGAAUAAAUGACUUUUUGGUUUAAUUUAAGCCUCUUCCAAAACAUCACUAAAACAAAGGGGCAAAGGACAUUCUAUCCAUAUAUUCACCAGUAAAACUACUUAGUUUUCAAUCUCAUAACCUAGUUUAUACUGGUAAAAUUUCCCUGUACUGACCAAAUCUAGAGGAUAUUGCUGAAUAAAGAGCUUAGCUUGAAAAGAAUAAGUUGAGUCUGGACAACAAGAAUUAAAGAGGAGCGAGAGAAACUUCACUGGCUCUGGAUGAAGCCCUUCAUAAAAGAAGAAUUAGCUGUGCUAUGCCAGUGUGUUAUGAAAGUGCCAUUUUUUCUGAGAAGGGAAGGUAUGCAGAAUAAUGAACAAGGCUGGAAGAGUUUUUUCCAACCUGGGUGGGUGAAAAAAGGAGAAAUUAGUAUCAGGAACAUCUAGUGAGUAUGGAGGAGUUGCAACUCUUCUGUUCCUCUGUAGGACUGCAGUGGUGUUGCACAAUGAAAGAGGUUGAGCCCCACUCACAGUGCUCACUGGGUUAAGCCUUGGAGAAGUAGAUGUUCAGCUCCGACUUGCUGAGGCUGAGCUGUCUGCAGAAAGUAGCCACAGCCUGUCUGAUUGAGAAAGAUGGGCCAAGCACCAUGUGUGCAUGUAUAUGUGGCAUGGUUUGGGUGCUGACAAGCACAAUUGCCACCCAUUAGAAAGGUUCUGCCUCUUGGUUUCUUGUUCUGACAUAGGAAUACUUCUUGUGAGCAUGGUACUUGCAAUGGCCAGUUCAGCCCAAGAAAAGGGGCUCAGAGUUACCCAGGAGUCAAGGCAGAAUUGCUUGCACACAGUGGCAUAGUAUAGAAUGGGAAUAUGCACAUCCAAAUAUGUGAAUGUUUUCUGCCUUGGCUGCCUUCAGCUCACAGGAAGGUUGAGCAACUGGAGAACUGGCAUGUGACUUUGAGGUUGAUGUUAAUCUUCCCACUGGUGGGAGGUUACAGUGUCUACUGAGUAUUUCUAAUGGUCUGGGAAGAAUAUUCAAAUUUGACCAUCUCUGCAGGGAUUUGAUCCUGCAAUAUGUUCUCAGAAAUGUCUUCCUUGUGUCCGGUCUUCCCUGUUUUAAUGAACUUCGGAUCUUUGAUUUAUCCUCUGAUGAGAUCCCAUGCAAACUCUCAGUCUGUCUGGUAUAGGUGAGAAACGUAACAGAACCAGCUAAUGGUGGUGCAGAUGGAAGGACAUGGCCACUUUCUUUGAGGACCUGUCUUCCUGGCAGGGUUAACAAGACCUGUGUUAGCACUGUGGGGUCAUUGUCCCACUCAUGGCUAUUCCAGACUCAGCCGUUUGGUCAUGAGCCAGAAGAGUGACAGCUCUACAGUUGGCAUCUCCCACCACUGGUUACUGGACUUGGCUGCUGUGAGCUGCAGGCUAAACUCAUCAUGUGUUCCUUCAUGCAGGUAACAUGACAAGCAACAGGUACUGCAGUUGCACUGCCCUCACAGGUAUGAAGUGCCAUCCAUCAGGAUCUGAAUGUUCCUGUGCUGGACAGCUGAGAAGAGGUGGCAGUAAAAGCCACAGG
rnacentral:lncRNA from 1 species